UACGUAGGGCGCAAGCGUUGUCCGGAAUUAUUGGGCGUAAAGAGCUCGUAGGCGGUCUGUCGCGUCGGAUGUGAAAGCCCGGGGCUUAACCCCCGGGUCUGCAUUCGAUACGGGCAGACUAGAGUGUGGUAGGGGAGAUCGGAAUUCCUGGUGUAGCGGUGAAAUGCGCAGAUAUCAGGAGGAACACCGGUGGCGAAGGCGGAUCUCUGGGCCAUUACUGACGCUGAGGAGCGAAAGCGUGGGGAGCGAACAGG
rnacentral:rRNA from 1 species